rnacentral:rRNA from 1 species
CCUACGGGAGGCAGCAGUGAGGAAUAUUGGUCAAUGGGCGCGAGCCUGAACCAGCCAAGUAGCGUGAAGGCUGACUGCCCUACGGGUUGUAACCUUCUUUUAUAAAGGAAUAAAGUGAGGAACGUGUACCUUUUUGUAUGUACUUUAUGAAUACGGAUCGGCGAACUCCGGGCCAGUCGCCGCGGUAAUACGGAGGAUCCGAGCGUUAUCCGGAUUUAUUGGGUUUAAAGGGAGCGUAGAUGGGUUGUUAAGUCAGUUGUGAAAGUUUGCGGCUCAACCGUAAAAUUGCAAUUGAUACUGGCAGUCUUGAGUACAGUUGAGGUAGGCGGAAUUCGUGGUGUAGCGGUGAAAUGCUUAGAUAUCACGAAGAACUCCGAUUGCGAAGGCAGCUUACUAAACUGCCACUGACAUUGAUGCUCGAAAGUGUGGGUAUCAAACAGGAUUAGAUACCCUUGUAGUC